rnacentral:lncRNA from 1 species
GAAUCUUUUCAUAAGCUCUUCCAUAAACUUCCAGAAGCUACUUGUAACACUAGGAUGAAUUUAAGCAAAAAGAAAAUCCAAUCUUUGACAUGCAUACAAAAAAAAAAUCCAUACGUGGGUGGGUCUAAUUCUUCUCGGCCCAGGUUGGAAACAAACUUGAUUCACCUUCCUCGUCCCAAUCUUUGACAUGCACAUAGAAAAUUGAUUUAAAAUUCGAAAUCUAGAAUCGACCCCAAAACUAAAAGUUUUUAUUUUGGAAAACAACUUACAGUGGAAGACAGCCCACAAGGAGAGGAUCAUUUUUACCUCUUGGGUCGAGGUUCGAUUCCGACGGGUUUGGUAGAAAAUUUGUCGGAAAAUCACCAGCCAUCGCUUCUUAGAUCUGAAAUUGACGAAAUUCGGCUACGAAUUUGUAGAAACUAACUUGGGGGUUGGAAGGAGGACGUGAAGAGGAUUCUGGAGGUUUAAUUUGACGGUCGUUGGUGACCGGUGGAUGGCUUGCGUGAAAGAGGAGAGAGAGAGAGAGAGAGAGAGAGAGAGAGAGAGAGAGAGGACGAAGGGGGAAGGGAUGAGGGGGAAAUUGAGGGAAGAGAGAGGAGUUGGACGUUCGUGAAGGGAAGAGAGAUUUUUUAAGUUUUUCUUAUUUUUUUAUAAAUGUGUUUAACUUAUCCUAUCUAAAAUCUGAAGGCAAGCACAAUCCAAACCUCAUUUGGUUUCCUUGCUUGCCCCAUAAAAAUCCCAAAAGUAAAUAUGUAAGGACACAAAACUUACUUUUUAUUUAAAUAUAUUGAACUAAAGGGCACAAUAACCUUUGUCGUGUUUUUGCAAAUUAAUAAAAAAUUUACAAAUCUGACACAUGCAAGGCAGGAUGGACAUAAAGCGCUACUGACAAACAUAUUUUAUAGACACAAAAUCCUUUUUGUGCCCAUCUUAAGUAAAAAAGUACCCUACUCGGCACGGUUUUCGUGCUCAUUACUGUUUUGUAUCUUUUUUUUUUUUAACAUUGGGCACCAUAGAUGGUGCCCUCUAUUGAAUGUGAACUAUUUAAGCUUUUUUGUGGUUAAACUGACACAAAAUUUUCAAUUAUGCCCUUUUUUUUGUACCUAAAGCUCAUUUUUGUUGUAGUGAAUUAUAUAUUUUUAGUUAUCAGGUGAUUAAUUAAGAGUAUUUUGUUAUGAAUAAUUAUUCAGAAUUUUUUUACUGUUAAAUGUGAACUACCUGCCCACGUGCCACCGAUCAAGUACCAUAUAUACAUGAUAGAAAUACAAAAUAUGAGGUGGUUUUGGUAACCCAAUACCAACAGAAAUUACAAAAUACAAAUUUGUUCUUUAGCCAAACGAAUUUCAUUUACCCUAGCGAACACAUGAUGAAGAAUCUUUGAUGGUUGAGUGAGAAAAUCCUUAUAACUAAAUGUUGCAUUAAGCCAUGUUUCUCAUAAGUAACCGGUACAUGUUGUCCUUUAAGAUUGCAUGGUUAGAACACUAAUGCAUGUGAUAAUAAAUAUUAC